UUGGAGGGCAAGUCUGGUGCCAGCAGCCGCGGUAAUUCCAGCUCCAAUAGCGUAUAUUAAAGUUGUUGCAGUUAAAAAGCUCGUAGUUGAAUUUCGAGACCGGUUUACUGGUCGUGCUUUUGUACGUACUGGUAUUAUUGGUUUCUCCUUUCUGACGAACUAUAAUGCCAUUAAUUUGGUGUUAUAGGGAAUCAGGACUGUUACUUUGAAAAAAUUAGAGUGUUUAAAGCAGGCUCACGCUUGAAUACAUUAGCAUGGAAUAACGGAAUAGGACGUUUGAUUCUAUUUUGUUGGUUUCUAGGAUCGACGUAAUGAUUAAUAGGGAUAGUUGGGGGCAUUAGUAUUCAAUUGUCAGAGGUGAAAUUCUUGGAUUUAUUGAAGACUAACUACUGCGAAAGCAUUUGCCAAGGAUGUUUUCAUUAAUCAAGAACGAAAGUUAGGGGAUCGUAGACGAUCAGAUACCGUCGUAGUCUUAACCAUAAACUAUGCCGACUAGGGAUCGGAUGAUGUUAAUUUUUUAAUGACUCAUUCGGCGCCUUACGGGAAACCAAAGUGUUUGGGUUC
rnacentral:rRNA from 1 species